GACAGAGGUGCCGAGCGUUAGGCGGAAUCACUGGGCUUAAAGCGUGUGUAGGCGGCGGCGUAAGUACCUUGUGAAAUCCCUGGGCUCAACCCAGGAACUGCGUCCGAUACUGGAAGGCUUGAAUCCGGGAGAGGGAUGCGGAAUUCCAGGUGUAGCGGUGAAAUGCGUAGAUAUCUGGAGGAACACCGGUGGCGAAGGCGGCAUCCUGGACCGGUAUUGACGCUGAGGCGCGAAAGCCAGGGGAGCAAACGGG
rnacentral:rRNA from 1 species